AUAGCGUAUAUUAAAGUUGUUGCAGUUAAAAAGCUCGUAGUUGGAUUUCUGGCUUGAUAUAUUUUGCCGGCCACGGUUUCGUGUGUUAGUGCUUGAUAUUCUGGCCAUCCUUCCAAUGGCUAUUCAUCCUUCUUCAUUGAAGGUGUGAGUGGUAUUGGAUCUUUUACUUUGAAAAAAUUAGAGUGUUUCAAGCAGGCUUUAUGCUAUGAAUACAUUAGCAUGGAAUAAUAAUUUAGGACUUCGGUUCUAUUUUGUUGGUUUCUAGGACUGAAGUAAUGAUUGAUAGGGAUAGUUGGGGGUGCUAGUAUUCAGCGGCCAGAGGUGAAAUUCUCGGAUUCGCUGAAGACUAACUUAUG
rnacentral:rRNA from 1 species